UUAUCCAUUUCAUAUAGGUUUAACGACAAAAGUUGUUGGUUUGAAGAGGAAGAAAGGUAAUAGGCCCACUCCUUUUACAAGAAAAGCAGUUUUGGAGGGAAAAAAAUAUGCUUAUGAACUGCUUUGUAGAUGAAGAGACAUUAUCGAAGACCAUAAAUAAAGGCAUUUUGAAGAAGAAGCUGCUAUAGAAUGUGGUAUAGAGAAGGUUUCUUCUUGUAUGGAAUCAUGUGUUGAAAUUAAUGAAGUGAAGCUGUUCUUUACUUCUGAUGGGUGGCUAUUGGUUAAAAAUGUGAUUUUACAAAAUCGAAAAUGAUGACAUGGGAAUGUUAUUCAUGCAAACAAGAUUGCGGUAUGGUGAUACUAUUUUGUGCGACUCUUAUUCGCAGUGGUAUCACUAUUCCUGUGGCGGCCCUCUGCAGCCUCCAGAGCAAAAGUAUUGUUCAAAAUCUAAACUUUUUAGGCUUUUUUUUUAGCUUAUUUUGAUUUUCUUCCUGUGAGAUAUAUUUUGAAUAGAUAUUUGUCAUGUGUAAGCCAAUUUUGAAUAAAUAUUUGUCAUGUGUAAGCCAACUUUAUAUUUUUUUUAAUUCUGAAACAAACUUUAUUUCUUAAUUAGUAAUUUUUAUUGCUUUUUUAAAAAAAAAAAAUAUUUGUUUAACCAUUGUCAAAUUUCAAGUGAAUGUCCACAUAAAAACUCUUCAUUAUUAAUUUCUGAUGAACUUCAAUGACAUAAAUUUUCCCACCAAGUUGUUAAAUAAUUAAGUUUCUAAGUAUAGGUGUUACCUAUUUUGAUAGAAUAGUACUUUACUUUCAAUAAAUUUGCAUUCAGUAUGUUCCUUUUAACUGUAAUUUAUGUAGUAUAUGUUUCUUUCAACUUUGUGAUUGCUUGCUUCUAAUCCUAAUUGUAUAAAUUUAUAUUUAGUUUUUUAAAUCUGCUACAUUUUUGUCCAAUAAAAGUUUAGUUUCUUCUUGCA
rnacentral:lncRNA from 1 species